GCCACAAACUUUUAAGGUCUUGCUCUUCAUUGGACACCCUUCUACUUCCAGGAACCAUAGGGAUUUAAUGUCAGUACUUUAAGCCAAUAAGCUCCUUCCUACCUCCUUGCCUUAUCUCCAGCGGCUCGGUAUCCAGAAAACCUUCUCCUCACCAGCCUUCCAAGUCCACUGCUCUAGGAAAUUAACUUUCCUUCCUCUCCAAUUCCAUACCAUAUCUGCCUGCACCACUGUACAGUUUACAAUUCCCCCUGUUUCUGUGCUUGCUGUUCUAAUGCCUCCUUCUCCUAGCGCUAAGACAGCGAGCAGGAGCAAAUCUUUUUCAACCUCCUUCCACCUUUCAUCCCAGACUGUGCCUAUGCAGGCCUGGAAAAGCGUUAGGAAAGUAGGCACCAUUCAAAAUAUCCCUUGUGGCGUCCCUUGUGGUUCAGCUGGUGAAGAAUCCAACUGCAAUGCCGGAGACGUGGGUUUAAUCCCUGGGUUGGGAAGAUUCCCCUGGAGAAGGAAAAGGUUACCCACUUCAGUAUUCUGGUCGCGAAGAGUCACACAGGACUGAAGCGACAUAAACUUCAAAAUAUCCUGGAGUCAGGGAAAGAUUUACCAUUUUGAAGGUGAAUAGAUGACUCAAAGGGCUUCCCUGAUAGCUCAGUUGGUAAAGAAUCUGCCUGCAAUGCAGAAGACCCCUGGUUCCAUUCCUCUGUGGGGAAGGUGCCCUGGCAAAGGAAUACGCUACCCACUCCGGAGUUCUUGGGCUUCCCUUAUGGCUCAGCUGGUAAAGAAUCCGCCUGCAUUGCGGGAGACCUGGGUUGGAUCCCUGGCUUGGGAAGAAACCCUGGAGAAUGGAAAGGCUACCUACUACAGUAUUCUGGCCUGGCGAAUUCCAUGGACUGUAGAGUCCAUGGGGUCGCAAAGAGUGGGACAGAACUGAGCGACUUUCACUUUCACGUAGAUGAAUCAAAAUUAAAUGGCUGAUAAUUUUUGUUGGUUGUGAAACAGAUUUUUCUCUUCUUCAGUCUCUGAGUCCUGUCCUCAAUUCUUUGCGGCCCUGUGGACUACAGCAUAUCCGGCUUCCCUGUCCUUCACUGCCUCAGGGAGUUUGCUCAAAUUCAUGUCCUGUUGAGUUUGUGAAGCUGCCUAAUGACGUCAUGCUCUGCUGCCCUCUUCUCUUGCCUUCAGUCUUUCACCGCAUCAGAGUCUUUUCCACUGAGUCUGCUUUUCCAUCAAGUAGUCAAAGUGUGAAACUAAUAUGUUGUCCCAAUCAAAAUUCGUCACUGGCUAAAUAUUAGGCCUUACACAUAUGGUUUCAUAUGCAGUGUAUACAAUAAGAAUUUACCAUUGUUUUUAACCUAGAAGAAUUCUUUUUAAAAAAAAUUACAUUUUUACAAAUGUAAAAGUUAAAUUAUGUUUGUACAGUCCAUGCCAGGUUUCUUGUACAAGAUGCCAGGUUCCAGAUUUAUCUGCCUGUUUCCUUAUGUUUUACUUGUUAUAAUAACUUUAUUAAAAUUCUCCAUAAAACAUUAAA